UACUAGCAUUUUCCGGUGGCUUAAACGGUUAGAGCGUCUGCCUUGGAUGCGGGAGGUCGCGUGUUCGAGCCCAGGCUGAGUAA